rnacentral:other from 1 species
UGUUAUUCUUAAGGAGAAUUAUUUUUGUUCGGUGUAAAGGAUAGAAAUUAUUUCGUCUUAAUGAUCACUUUGGGCAAGGAUAGUAACAAAAUGUGCUAACGCACUGGGAGGUAACAAGUAAUGGAACAAGGUACAGUAAAAUGGUUUAACGCAGAAAAAGGUUUUGGAUUCAUCGAGCGCGAAGGUGGAGACGACGUAUUCGUACACUUCUCUGCUAUCCAAUCUGAAGGUUUCAAAUCAUUAGACGAAGGUCAAAAAGUAUCUUUCGACGUUGAGCAAGGCGCUCGCGGACCACAAGCUGCUAACGUAUCAAAACUAUAAUAUUAGUUUUGUUUAAAGAAGAAGGUUCCUAUGGGACCUUCUUUUU